rnacentral:lncRNA from 1 species
AGCCCGGUUCCAAACCCUUGCUGGAGAGGUGAUACAGUCAUUUGGAGGAAAGAGGGUUGCUGUGGUAUGCUGGGGUUCCGCUUCAAUGCCUAGUCACCUCAGAUUUUCCUGUACCUGCAGGUAUCACCAGUGAAGCCUGCGAAGCAGCAAAGAUGGCAGUCUGCCCCGUCUUCUAGGAGCUCUGUCACAGGGAGGGAAUGAUACAAGCUUGUUGUGCAAGCCAGAAAUCUGAAUGUAUUCUUUGACAUCUACCACUCUUUUUCACUCUCUCCUUAUGUGGAAAGUACUAUGAAUUUAUUCUCCAAUCAUCUUUUUAAUCUGGACACCUCUGGCCAUUUCUAUUGCCACAACCAUAGUUCAAUUUAUUGUCAUCUCCUAACUGAACUACUGUAAUCGUUUCCUAAUACUCACUCAGAUGAUCUUACUUUAUGUAAUAUCUACUUCACAUACGCAGCUGGAGUAAAAUGUUACAUUACAAAUCUGAUAUGAGAAAAUUACAUCUGGGAGCAUUUUAAUUUACUUUAAUAGAGAGAUUCUUUUGUUAUGCAAAUAUCCCUUCAAUGACCAAAUUGUCUUUCUAAGGGGAUGUCAUCAAGAGGGAAAAGAGCUUAAAUUUAUUGAACUAAAGAAAUAAAGCAAUUAUUCAAGUAAAUAA